AGGAAAAGAAACCAACAGGGAUUGCCUUAGUAGCGGCGAGUGAAGCGGCAAAAGCUCAAAUUUGAAAUCUGGCGCCUUCGGUGUCCGAGUUGUAAUUUGAAGAUUGUAACCUUGGGGUUGGCUCUUGUCUAUGUUUCUUGGAACAGGACGUCACAGAGGGUGAGAAUCCCGUGCGAUGAGAUGCCCAAUUCUAUGUAAGGUGCUUUCGAAGAGUCGAGUUGUUUGGGAAUGCAGCUCUAAGUGGGUGGUAAAUUCCAUCUAAAGCUAAAUAUUGGCGAGAGACCGAUAGCGAACAAGUACAGUGAUGGAAAGAUGAAAAGAACUUUGAAAAGAGAGUGAAAAAGUACGUGAAAUUGUUGAAAGGGAAGGGUUUGAGAUCAGACUCGAUAUUUUGUGAGCCUUGCCUUCGUGGCGGGGUGACCCGCAGCUUAUCGGGCCAGCAUCGGUUUGGGCGGUAGGAUAAUGGCGUAGGAAUGUGACUUUACUUCGGUGAAGUGUUAUAGCCUGCGUUGAUGCUGCCUGCCUAGACCGAGGACUGCGAUUUUAUCAAGGAUGCUGGCAUAAUGAUCCC
rnacentral:rRNA from 1 species